AAAAUUGUUGAGUUUGCUGUAAAUAUUACUUUCUUGAUAGUAAGUUCUAUAUUGUCUUGUAUCCAUUGAAGUGGUGGCUAACAGGGGGUUGACUUCUUGUGGUAGGUUGCCAAAUACUGAACUCGUAUAUGAUUCCAACAGAAACAUUUAGCUGGUUUGCAAUGUACUUCAUAUUGAGUUUAAUGCUUUUGUUGUCUGUCAGAUGUGCCACAAGCAUGGGG
rnacentral:misc_RNA from 1 species